rnacentral:rRNA from 1 species
CGUAGGUAACCUGCCUGGUAGCGGGGGAUAACUAUUGGAAACGAUAGCUAAUACCGCAUACAGUCGACAUUGCAUGAUGUUGAUUUGAAAGGGGCAAUUGCUCCACUACCAGAUGGACCUGCGUUGUAUUAGCUAGUUGGUGAGGUAACGGCUCACCAAGGCGACGAUACAUAGCCGACCUGAGAGGGUGAUCGGCCACACUGGGACUGAGACACGGCCCAG